rnacentral:rRNA from 1 species
GGGUUGUGAGGUUAAGCGACUAAGCGUACACGGUGGAUGCCCUGGCAGUCAGAGGCGAUGAAGGACGUGCUAAUCUGCGAUAAGCGUCGGUGAGGUGAUAUGAACCGUUAUAACCGGCGAUUUCCGAAUGGGGAAACCCAGUGUGUUUCGACACACUAUCAUUAACUGAAUCCAUAGGUUAAUGAGGCGAACCGGGGGAACUGAAACAUCUAAGUACCCCGAGGAAAAGAAAUCAACCGAGAUUCCCCCAGUAGCGGCGAGCGAACGGGGAGGAGCCCAGAGCCUGAAUCAGUGUGUGUGUUAGUGGAAGCGUCUGGAAAGGCGUGCGAUACAGGGUGACAGCCCCGUACACAAAAAUGCACAUAUUGUGAGCUCGAUGAGUAGGGCGGGACACGUGGUAUCCUGUCUGAAUAUGGGGGGACCAUCCUCCAAGGCUAAAUACUCCUGACUGACCGAUAGUGAACCAGUACCGUGAGGGAAAGGCGAAAAGAACCCCGGCGAGGGGAGUGAAAAAGAACCUGAAACCGUGUACGUACAAGCAGUGGGAGCCUCUUAAUGGGGUGACUGCGUACCUUUUGUAUAAUGGGUCAGCGACUUAUAUUCUGUAGCAAGGUUAACCGAAUAGGGGAGCCGAAGGGAAACCGAGUCUUAACUGGGCGUUAAGUUGCAGGGUAUAGACCCGAAACCCGGUGAUCUAGCCAUGGGCAGGUUGAAGGUUGGGUAACACUAACUGGAGGACCGAACCGACUAAUGUUGAAAAAUUAGCGGAUGACUUGUGGCUGGGGGUGAAAGGCCAAUCAAACCGGGAGAUAGCUGGUUCUCCCCGAAAGCUAUUUAGGUAGCGCCUCGUGAAUUCAUCUCCGGGGGUAGAGCACUGUUUCGGCAAGGGGGUCAUCCCGACUUACCAACCCGAUGCAAACUGCGAAUACCGGAGAAUGUUAUCACGGGAGACACACGGCGGGUGCUAACGUCCGUCGUGAAGAGGGAAACAACCCAGACCGCCAGCUAAGGUCCCAAAGUCAUGGUUAAGUGGGAAACGAUGUGGGAAGGCCCAGACAGCCAGGAUGUUGGCUUAGAAGCAGCCAUCAUUUAAAGAAAGCGUAAUAGCUCACUGGUCGAGUCGGCCUGCGCGGAAGAUGUAACGGGGCUAAACCAUGCACCGAAGCUGCGGCAGCGACACUAUGUGUUGUUGGGUAGGGGAGCGUUCUGUAAGCCUGUGAAGGUGGCCUGUGAGGGUUGCUGGAGGUAUCAGAAGUGCGAAUGCUGACAUAAGUAACGAUAAAGCGGGUGAAAAGCCCGCUCGCCGGAAGACCAAGGGUUCCUGUCCAACGUUAAUCGGGGCAGGGUGAGUCGACCCCUAAGGCGAGGCCGAAAGGCGUAGUCGAUGGGAAACAGGUUAAUAUUCCUGUACUUGGUGUUACUGCGAAGGGGGGACGGAGAAGGCUAUGUUGGCCGGGCGACGGUUGUCCCGGUUUAAGCGUGUAGGCUGGUUUUCCAGGCAAAUCCGGAAAACCAAGGCUGAGGCGUGAUGACGAGGCACUACGGUGCUGAAGCGACAAAUGCCCUGCUUCCAGGAAAAGCCUCUAAGCAUCAGGUAACAUCAAAUCGUACCCCAAACCGACACAGGUGGUCAGGUAGAGAAUACCAAGGCGCUUGAGAGAACUCGGGUGAAGGAACUAGGCAAAAUGGUGCCGUAACUUCGGGAGAAGGCACGCUGAUAUGUAGGUGAAGCGACUUGCUCGUGGAGCUGAAAUCAGUCGAAGAUACCAGCUGGCUGCAACUGUUUAUUAAAAACACAGCACUGUGCAAACACGAAAGUGGACGUAUACGGUGUGACGCCUGCCCGGUGCCGGAAGGUUAAUUGAUGGGGUUAGCGGUAACGCGAAGCUCUUGAUCGAAGCCCCGGUAAACGGCGGCCGUAACUAUAACGGUCCUAAGGUAGCGAAAUUCCUUGUCGGGUAAGUUCCGACCUGCACGAAUGGCGUAAUGAUGGCCAGGCUGUCUCCACCCGAGACUCAGUGAAAUUGAACUCGCUGUGAAGAUGCAGUGUACCCGCGGCAAGACGGAAAGACCCCGUGAACCUUUACUAUAGCUUGACACUGAACAUUGAGCCUUGAUGUGUAGGAUAGGUGGGAGGCUUUGAAGUGUGGACGCCAGUCUGCAUGGAGCCGACCUUGAAAUACCACCCUUUAAUGUUUGAUGUUCUAACGUUGGCCCGUAAUCCGGGUUGCGGACAGUGUCUGGUGGGUAGUUUGACUGGGGCGGUCUCCUCCUAAAGAGUAACGGAGGAGCACGAAGGUUGGCUAAUCCUGGUCGGACAUCAGGAGGUUAGUGCAAUGGCAUAAGCCAGCUUGACUGCGAGCGUGACGGCGCGAGCAGGUGCGAAAGCAGGUCAUAGUGAUCCGGUGGUUCUGAAUGGAAGGGCCAUCGCUCAACGGAUAAAAGGUACUCCGGGGAUAACAGGCUGAUACCGCCCAAGAGUUCAUAUCGACGGCGGUGUUUGGCACCUCGAUGUCGGCUCAUCACAUCCUGGGGCUGAAGUAGGUCCCAAGGGUAUGGCUGUUCGCCAUUUAAAGUGGUACGCGAGCUGGGUUUAGAACGUCGUGAGACAGUUCGGUCCCUAUCUGCCGUGGGCGCUGGAGAACUGAGGGGGGCUGCUCCUAGUACGAGAGGACCGGAGUGGACGCAUCACUGGUGUUCGGGUUGUCAUGCCAAUGGCACUGCCCGGUAGCUAAAUGCGGAAGAGAUAAGUGCUGAAAGCAUCUAAGCACGAAACUUGCCCCGAGAUGAGUUCUCCCUGACUCCUUGAGAGUCCUGAA